UCUGCACAUGCCCAGCCCCCUUCCCCACUCCCAUCAUCCCCAAGGGUUUAAAUGUCAAGCAUCCCCCAGCUCUCCACACUCACACAUCUCAGGGACACAGCAGCAUGAAGUCCGUGGCUGCCCUUCUCCUGGUAGGGAUGCUCAUCCUCUGGACAGACCUGCCAACAGGCAGCACCUGGUCCUGCCCGCCUGUCCGCAUCACCUGCGCACUGUUCAACCCACCAAACCUAUGCUACAGCGACCGGCAGUGUCCACGGUUCAAGAAAUGCUGCCCCACCUUCUGCGGGAGGAAAUGCAUCUCACGCCCAUCUUACCCCCCCAUCUACCACGUGUGAUCUCCUGCUCCCAGGACAGAUCAAGGACCUCCUCAGCAUUCCUGUGCUACCCUGGCACCAGCCAGAUACCCGUUCCUCUGCUAAAGCUUGUCCUGCCCAAUGACGGCUCCUGGGAGGAUGGGGACAGCCACCAGCCCAUGCUCAGAGACCACCUUGGCUCCAGGACCACCCCACUGACAGCUGCCACACAGUGCUACAUGCCACUUGCACGCUCUCUCCUUCUGCUUCUCCACUGCUGUUUUAACAAAUAAAAGAGCUUGGCCCAAG